AAGUUUUGCUGUAAAGACUAACUUUGGACUAAAUUUGAAUCAAAGAUGGCUGGAUAUGGAGAGUGCAAUAUUUUAGAAACGCAUCUUCUUAAUAUUAGAGUUUUAUUAAAAAUAAUGUAACAUUUUCUUGUUUUUUGUCAUCUCUUUUUAAGCUUCUGCAUCGAAUUCAGGUGAGAUCUCCCCCUCUUCUUCUUUUAUUAUUUUUUCUUUCUCUUUUAUUAUUUAUUUCAUUUUUUUAUGCAUAUCUAUAAAAUUAUAAAAUGUUAUGAUAAUGUUUAGAUUAGGUUGGGCGUGGGGAUAGUUGACGUGUGUUUCUAAAUAUUUGUGUUUGUUUUUCUCUUUUUUCUUUUAAAAAACAAAAAAAAACAUUUUUUUUUGUCUAGGAUGGUUGUAUAAAGAGUCACGAUUUUGAAAUGCAUCCUAAUAGUCUUGUUGUAUUAUAUUUUAAUUUUGAAAUUCAUAGUAAGUUGUUUUUGUUCCCUUUUCUUUGAAUUACUCAAAUUUGAGAACUCUCCAAUUGGUUAUUAAGUCAUUUAAUUGUUUACUCAUUUAACAGGUAUUAUUGAAUCAUUCUUCACACAUACACUAUGACACAUACUAGUGGGUUAUAAGUUAAAAUUUUUGCAGCAUUUAGUUCUUUUUAUUUAUUAGGGAUAAUAUCUAAGAUAGUAAAAAGUGUAUAUUGCAAAUAUAUAAUUAUGUUUAAUUUUGAUAUAUCUAGAACCUGAGUAAUUAAGUUUGUAGGGGUGUUUCAACAUCUAGUGCCCUAAGGCCAACUGGUCUGGGAGUCACUGGCUUAAAGCUCGCUACAUGGGUUAUAGAUAUAUUGUUUGCUUAUUUAUUAGAAACCUAAGUAAUUAAAUCUGUAAGGGUGUUUCAACACUUAGUACCCUAAGGCCAACUGGUCUGUGAGUCACUGGCUUAAAGCUCACUACAUGGGUUAAAAAUGUAAUGUUUUAAAAUUUAUGUGAAUAAUCUACUGCCUAAAGAUAGAAUUUCUAAAGAAUUUUGAAACGAAAGUGUUGUUUUUCUUUUAAUGAAACCCCAAAAGUAUUGUGUUAAUUACUUGAGUACAAAAGAAUGUUUGAUGAUAUUCUAAAUAAUGAGUAAACGACAAAAAGGUAAAUAAAUCUGAGAGAGUUUAUUUAUUUGGUAGUUUAGAGAAUAGACGAACAAUUAUUAACUUGCAUGUGAUUUUUGUAAAUCUUAAUUUAAUAUAGCACUUUUAUUUCUAAGGACUAGCAAUAAGCUGGUUUGGGGGUGUGAUUAGUAUUGAAAAUUAUUUGAUUAUCAAGCGAUAAAAAUAUUAUUUUGUGCUUAUAUUAUAAUUUAUAUUUGUAUUUAUGCAAUAUAUUAGGGAUUAUUAAUUAUGAUUUAACUAUAUCUAAUUUUGUGUUUUUUUGUGUGUUUAUUAGGUAAAAUAUUAAUUUCACGUAAUUCAAGGCUCUAAACAAAUAAACGGAUGUCAAAUUUGAAUUUCAGAGGUCUGAAAACCUUAUGAUGAGUCAAGAUCGGGCACUGAUUAUAUGAUAAAAUGAACUUACAAUGAAUAUGAGUGCAUUGGAUCGCUAGCAAUUUUGAUUAAAUCUCAACCAUUCAUGAUUCAAUGGCCACAAUCGUGCUCCGUGGCAAUGGUUGGUGAAGCAAGUUGUAGGAUCCGAAUCUUUGUAUUCAAAUUGACUCGAUCCACCCAUUAACUCGCCAAAUCUCAAUCAUUCUUCGACCGAAUCGGACGCUUCACAAGAUACCACAUGUAAUGUUGACUUGUGAAGUUUUACCAGCAUUUGGAUCUUGAUCUAAUGAUUGUGAGAAGCGCAUGCAUAAAGCUUAUGAUGGACCACAAAACACUAGAUUAUGAAUUUAUUUUUCUAUAAAUAGAACCUCAUUUUUAUGUUUUUGGACAUCUUUCUUCUUCUCAAUUUCUCUCAAUUUCCCUGUAAUUUUAUUUUUCAGGUAUGUUUUCAUAUUUUGUAUAAUUAUUUUU
rnacentral:lncRNA from 1 species